AUAUCCAAUAUAAAUAGACUAUUAAACCACUCUCGAACACUAUCCCAACCAUAUCUGCUUGCUUGUCUGCUGCCUCCUAGCUCAUGGCGUCCACCGGUACAGAUAAGCCCGACCCAGAAGCCGCUACCAAGUCGGAGGUGCCACAUCCUCCUCCUAAGGGCAUCGACUACUUUGCCGUUGAUGUUGGUCUUAGGGUUUUACUUUUUGCAGCCACCCUAACUGCUGUUGUGGUCAUGUCCACUGCCAAGCAAACAGAGCCAGUUUUUGUGCCGGGAGCGCCUGUCAGAGUUCCUAUCGCGGCCAAAUUUAAUCACUCACCUGCCUUCAUAUACUUUGUAGCAGCAUUAUCAGUUGCUUGCUUGUACAGUAUCAUCACAGCGCUUGCAUCCCUUGGGGUCAUCGCUAAGCCAAUUUAUGCAACAAAAUUCUUGCUUCACUAUGCAUUUUGGGAUGUGGGAUAUGGAUACCAUGAACUUGAACGAUGUUAUAAUGGUGCAGUUGAUUCUGGGAAUAGUAGCGGCAGCAACCGGUGCAGCCGGUGGAGUAGCAUAUAUUGGGUUGAAGGGGAACAGCCACACACGAUGGACGAAGGUUUGCAAUGUUUAUGAUGAAUUCUGUAGACAUGUAGGAAGCUCCAUAGCAAUAGCAUUGUUCGCUUCGGUUCUUCUAGUUCUGCUUAUCAUGCUUUCAGUCUUCUCCCUUCACAGUAGAAUCCAGGAUGCUACAGAAGCUGCAGGGAAAUGAAAAAGAAAAUAACGACAAGUAUGUCCCUGCAUUACUGGUUUUUGCUCAGACUCUCAGAUGAUAGAUUUAGACCCAGAGGAAUCAGCGCUGAUGAGGCCAAAGAAAACCCACACAAUCUGAUCCACUUGAAGCCUUGUGUUAGACCACAAAAUAUUCUAGCGAAUGGUUCUCCUGGAUUUGCCAGUCUUUGUACCAUAUCUACAGCUGCAUUUCCUUCGACUGCUAGAACUUAGAAAUCCUGGUUCUGUGUCUUCUAGUGAUCUCAGACCAAAGAGUUCAAGCCCUUUUCUUCAUACUUCAACAGCAAGAAAUCUCAGACCAAAGAGCUAAGUUUGAGGUAGAAAUUUGAAGUUUGAACAGCUUCAAAUAUGAGCAGGAUGCCAGAAUAUGACUUUUUAAAUUUAGUUCAGUGAUUUUAAUUAGAAGAAAAUUGUUGUUAUUGAUUCAAUAUGAUAAAUGUAGAAAUAGAAAUAAAUUAAUAAAGAAUCUCAAAAUUUGAGAACCUAUUCUUUUGCA